GACUCGUUCUCGUUCUUUCUCUCUCUCAAAAUAAAUAAAUGAAAACUUAAAAAAAAAAUAAAGACAGAACGUGAAAACAGCUGUUACAAGGAAAGCACCUACAACCCUACCUUCUCCAUGCUUUUUCUCACUACUUCUGGGAUAUUGUGCUUCUAAUAGUAUCUGUUACCAAGUUUUGUCCAUUCUUUCUUCUCAGUAUCUAUCAUUUUAGCACACCAGAAUUCUCAUAAUCAUCUCUAACUAGUCUUUUGUAUUUUAUUUUUUUCUUUCCUCUAAAUUAGCUUGGUACUUUGCUGUAUGAUUAAUAUAAAUAUUUUUAAAGCUUCUUCACAAUAAAGGUCCUGUUCAAAAUAGAGAUUUGCUGUUGUCCAUCAAUUCAAAUUCACUUGGAAGGACAUGUGUCUUGAUUGUUGCUUUUUAAUCUCUUCAUUUCAAAUUGCUGCUCCUGGAUCCCCCUGUGACCAUGUCUGGCCCUUCAAAAUGGAGAACUUAUAUGCAUAAAAGGUCAUCUGCCUGAAUAAACUACUGUAAAGAAAAGCCAAAGGAAAAUACUCUUGCCACGUAACUGGACACACAAAUAAAUAUCUUGCUCAAAAGGAAUUAUUUUUUUCUGCUCAUAGGCUCUGAGCCCAUUACCAUAGCAACCACAACUUGUGUUGUCUAACUGGAUGUGAUUUUUAUACACUGUUAUUUGAAAUGUUAAGGCAGUAAGUGAAGAUAAAGUUCAAUUUCUAUAAUAUUUUGGAAGGACUUAUCUCAAAAAUCUUGUAGAGGAAAAGUUUCAUUGUGCAGCCUACUCAUUUGUUUAAUGAAACAGUUUAUUCAACACUGACCAUCGGCACAGCGUGUGCUAAGCAUGUUAGAGAAGUGAAAAGCAUAAAGAACACUUAACCUGGAGGAACUUCUCUAAUAAAAUCAGCUUGUCAUGGGUAAACAGAAUGCCUGAAAGAACAGUUUUUUCAUAGGGAGUUAUCUAAUUUUAGAAUAAUCUGAUCAUCAUAAUUAGAGUAGUCUAUUAGGACCUGUAAGUAAGACAGCUAGAGGCUUGUUACAGCUGGUCAGAUUGCCCACAAGAUUUUCAAAUAUCUAUUGUAACCCCUACAGCAGGUACCUUUCCUUUUGGUCUUACAAAUGUGUUUGUAGCUACUCUCUGGAGAGGUGAGUGUUUCCUUCAUUGGAAGUUGAACACUUCUUGGCAGCUGGUACUGGCCUGAGGAAGCUGAAAAUGCCCACUGAUGAACAUGGAAGAAAAGUGUGAUGGUUCACCUGUUUCAGGUUGCUGAGAAAAUGGCUGUCCUGGCUGUGCUGCCACGGGCUGAGUGAUCACUGAGAGUGAGGACACAAAGGCCACAUGAUGAACAGGAAAUGCAAACCUUUCAACUGGUUGGGCAGUCACCUGUAAAUUAACGGUCAUGAGUGAUGAAGUGGUUUUCACAUGAUAAAUUACAGUCAGUAGCAAAUUCAUCUUAGGCUAAGUGUAGUAUGUAAUAAUAAGCGUAAAAAUAUGCUUAAUAUGUGAAAUUAAUUUUCUUAAAAUAUUUCCCCCUGAUCAAAUUCAUGAAGCACUGUUAUAAAUAUUCAAAGAAAAUCACAUUUUAUACCAAUAAAUAAUUUUUAGAAGA